rnacentral:ncRNA from 2 species
GGGUGCCCACCACAUCAGGUGGUGAUGGCAGGUCAUUCAGGUACAGGUCGGGCCGCCUGUA